CUUUAGACAUAUCCAUACUUUGUUAAGAAUUCUAAUGUUGGCCUCCCUGUGACGAAAAGUUUGGUUAUGUUGCAAUUGACGGAUUAAUAACUAGAGAAAUAGACAAGACGAAAUAGACGAAGGAGAAGAAAAUAAUGACUGUUAUUAAAAAGUUUAAAUAAAGUAUUUAUUGGAUUUAAGUUAUUUAUUAAUAUGUCCAGCUAGAACUAAUUCAUAUGUAAAUCUAAACAUCGAUCACGUUCAACUGCGAAAGAUAAGUUAUUGCAUUCGUUAACCUAACAUAAAGAUAUAAGCAAUCAUUAUUUUUGAUGAUAGAAUGGAAGAGAUACGACGUCCGGAAUUUUCGUCAUCAAUUUUACUUAUCUACAAUAAGAAAUGGUAUUGGACUCAUGACGACACAUGAACGUUGGCGUCGUGAUUUUAUUCGUUAUUGUUAAUAGUACAAUGUGAUGUGAACUAAUCUCAUAUGGAGGACAAUUCAUGAAAAAAUUCAUAUACGUGAGCGCGUUUUUGAUUACGCUUUUUUAACAAGUCAUGUUGCAUUUUUUCGAAUAUCGUUGUGAGAUAAAAAUGGUAGACUUUAUGUCGACAGUAUGAAUGAACUAAUGUUCAUUACUUAAAUCAUGGAAUGGAUGUAUUAACCGUAGAAUAAAUCUCGCUGUUUGUUCUAAUGUGUCUGACAGUUUUGUGGCUAAAGUCAAAGUCGUGAUUUCGUUCUAUUUCUUUCAUAGCAAUCUUAGAAAUAAUCUUCUUAUAUCGUAACGUCUGUACGCUGACGUCAUGGUUUCAUUCGUUAUUAUUUUUGCGGUAGGCGCGACGCUAUAUUUGUUCGAUGGAUACUAGCUCGACACGCCUUCGUAUCGUUCUUAUUGAUUUCAGGGAUGAUUUACAAGAAUUGCAAUACAUUUAAUUCUAUAAAUAUUAUUUUUAGUAUUAUAGUAAUAGAUUACUUAUAAUAGUCAUUUUUUUGAUAAUGGCUUAUUCUACAUUAUAGCUAAAAAAACAGGCGUGUUAUACAGCUAUCACAGAACUUUUUUAAGUGAUGAGUGAAUUUUUCAAUUUCUCCGAUUUUGUAAUCACUUGUCAACAAUGAAAAGGUUCGAAUCAAUACGAAUGAUUGGUUGGAAUUAAUUUGUAGAAAAGCAUUGAGUGACUAAUUUUUCUUUGGAAAUUUAAUCAUAAUAUGCAGAUAAAAUCAAGGUUUUAACAUGGAGUGAACGUCUCAAGAAUCGGUCUACCCGAGCAAGAUCAGAGUAUCAAAAUCGAGCAAAAUUCCAAGAGCUCACAUCUUAGAGUUAUUGUAAUUAAUCACAUUUGGAAAAAAGCGAAUGACACUGAUUUCAUCCCUUGAUGAUCUAACUUAAAAGAGAAGGUGAUAAAGAAAAGAAAAGAAAGCUAGAAGAUGCGAUGGAACGUGUACGAGCUUGAGAACGAUGGAACUGAUAACGAUGGUUAGACAUUUUGAAGAUCCCUUCAUUCGGUUAAAAUCAGAAUAGAAAAAUGCAGUUCCAUUUUUUUUCUACUGAAAGAAGAAAAUCCGCCCCUUCUUUGCGAUUAUUGCCUUUUUAUCUCAAUAAUACAACAAUCGAUUCUUCCUCAGCUUCGCGCAUAAUUGCGAUGUUGUUCGAAACUAAAAAACACAAAAUUAUUAAUAAUAUUGUUAUAAUAAGAAAGGGUUAAAAAUAUUUUUAAUGUUUGGUAUAAAAAUAUACUUAUUCUAGAUCUUCGUUUUUGUUGCACAAUAAGUAUUUUGCACCAAGCAACGAAGAACUUUGAAGGAAAUUAGAAAAUAUAAAUGAAUUUCUUAUUCUGGAUUAUCUGGAAUGAAAUUUUCAUAUGCGGCGAACAAGACUGAUUUUCCUUCGCGAUUUUAUUGAUAUUACAUAAAGACAACGACUCCGAGUUCAAAAUUUGAUGUUUAUCUGAUGGAAUGCAAAAGAAAAGUAAUUACUAUCAGAAUCAGUAGAAAAUUCAUUUUUAUCGAUAUUAGAUGAAAGCAUUAGAUGAACAACUUCAAGUCCUAAAUUUUAUUGUAUGAAAACAUUAGAUUCAAAUUACUUUAUAUUUAAUGCAUAUUACGAGUUACGUAAGUUUAACAUUAAUGCCGUACCGACAUUUCACGUAUAUUUAUUCUUACCCUAACUAAGGUACUCUAUUUGAUCAGUUACGAAAUAAAUGUUUUUUCAGAAGGAAUUAUCAAUUUAUUUUAAGAAUUAAUGGAUAAUAUAACUUUUAUAUAAUAAUAAAAUAAUCAAUCAUAUACUUUCAUUUUUAAUGUGUCAUAAGUAGGACAUAAAUAUAAUAGAACAUAACAUAAAUAAGUGAUCAUAAACGCAGCUUUUACUUUAUUUAGAAAUAAAUGAAGGAUGUUUUUGUUUUCUCAAUUGUAUUUUUAUCGUGUAAUAAGUUUCUCCUUCAUACAUUUACCGCAAACAAAUUUUUUACAAAUUAUGCAAGAUUUAGUUGUUUUAUUAUCUUUGCAAAAUCGUAUCUAGUAUGUUUUUCGCUAAUACAUAUUACAUUGAUUACUUGAUGUUCCUUGUAUGUUUUCUUUUUUUUUGGGGGGAAAUUCGUGAUAAGCUUUGGCAAACUCUUCCGUUACUAAAAAAAGUAGGUCCCCAUUUUAUAUUCCACAGAUAGGAAAUAGGUAAAUUUCUUGCUUGAUAAGCACAACGUGCGUAUAGAAUUGCAAUGAAGGCAUAUAUUUUUUAUAUUGGCAGAUUCCGUUUAGUCCCUAAAACUUGCAACGUUUUUGCUUCUAUGUGUUGAAUAAUAUUAUUGUCAAUUAUUACAAAAAAUGCCAUUUUGAUUUUAACAAAUAUGAUAUUUCGUUUGGCAUAUGACAUUGAACCUGAUACUUGUUUGAAGCAAUGUGAUAGUUUUCCGAUUGUUAAAUCUUCUAUUAUUUCUUUCCAAACAGUUCCAUCAAGAGCCACUUUAGUAUACUGAACAUUUUGAUUACUAUCACUUUCGGAAUCUGGUAAAACUCAUCGGGGUUUUUGUUCUCUACGGGCAUUCAAAAUAUUUUCUUCUUCAUCGUCGAUAUCACAUGAACAAUUGCUUUCAACUUCCUCAGUGUCGAACAAAUCAUCCUCACUUUCAAUUUACUCAUUUUCAAACUCAGAAUUUCGCCCGUUAGAGCACUCUUCUAAAUUACAUAUGAAGGAUGUUUUGGUUGAAACAGAUUUAUGAAUUUGAAAAUCUUUUCAUUAUGCUUUAUGUCGAUUUUCGCGUAUGCGGACAUCGCUUAAAACGUGAAAUGUUUAAAUCUUCUUCGAUUCCUCUGAAAUUGGAAUCUAUUGACACAGUUUAACAAGAGUAACAAGAAUAUAAAAUUCUUGCAAGGAUAUUAUUUUAAUUUCAAAGAAGAAUUGGCUUCAUUACGCAAACACGAGUGAUUCUUUAUCGAAUAGUAAAAGAUUUAAAUAACUUCGAUAGAAGAUGUGAUAGUUUAUCGUUCGCGUUUAUUAUCGAAACAAAGUGAGUGUAUAUUUAUGAUGAUGUAAUCAAGAUUUGAAAUUGUCGUUUUUAUCGAUGUAUUCCUAAAUAAUGAAGUUGGCAUAAUCCCUGGGUUAAUAAUACGAAAAGUAAAAAUAUUAUUCGAUCAUAUUCGUAAAUCAUUUUAUUAUAUUAGGAAGGAUAUAUAUUUAACGACGAUAUUUAGAGAACAAAAAGUUCCUCGUCGAAAGUUCGAAUUUAGAAGACCAUUGAUAUUUUUUUUUCGAAAGAAGAACCAUACAAAAUGGCACAUUUUUAUAAAAUUUUUUUAUUACACGAUCAUCGCUGCUCGUAUGUGAUAAAAGCCUAAAAUAAAAGCAAUCACUAAAAUUAGUGUCUAUUUGAAAUUCAACUUAUUCAUAAAAAGUGAAACAUGCUCGUUCAUAGUAGAAAGGCUUUAUUUAUUAGACGUGAUCGUUUAUAUUUUUAUUUAUCGAUGUAUUACAAAUAUUUCAAUAUUUUUUCAUGAUUUUUAUAAACGAAUAGACGCAUAACAAAAAUGCAACUUAAGUGCAUAAUAAACAACACAUUUAUUUCGAUUGAAAUAACAUUUAUAAUAGCAUCGAUUUGUUUUUUUAUUUUGCAACUCAAUUAAACGUUCCGUCUUAUUUAACAUAAACAUUAUUGCGUUCGUGAAAGCAAUCGAAAACGAAUCGAUUGAAAGUCUCUUGUUUUUUAUUUACACUACUGCCUAUUCAAUGAACGUGAAAUCGAUUAUAUAAUAAUUAAAGACGGAUUAGUUUGGUAAGAAAUAAUACAAUACAUUAAUUUGGCGUGUUUAGUUCGAGGAUAAUAUGAUUCUCGAUAUUUGUCCAAAAAGAAUUUGGACAAAAGGAGAUUAGAAAUUACUAAGUGUGUAGAUACGAAUGCGAGUGGCAAUGAAAAGGUUACGGGAUGACGUAAGGAAAGGACAGAGAAGGAGUCAGUCUUGUGCGGAUCAACACAAAGUAAAAAAUAGAGUAUUAAGUAGACAAGAAAAAGAGUAAAGGAUUGUAGUAUCUUUAUUAUAAAUAUAUUAAGAAAUAUUUUAAGUGAUUCUAUAUCUAAGCGAAGUUGAGGUGGCAUGGAAUAUGAAUUUGCUUGUUAUAUAUUAAAAUAAACAGCUGUUAGAAUUGAAAGAUUUACUUGUUGCUUUAGUAUGUCACUAUCUCUCAAUAAUAUAAAUUAAGUUCUCGAUUAAGAUAAUCGUUACGUACAUAGAAUAUAAUUGUACUAACGCUUGCACUCAUUCGUUUUUAAUUAUUUGGUUUAAUCGAUAUUUCGUUAUAAUACUACAUUUUGAUAUUUUCAUGAAAUAUAAUAUACGUAUAACAAUUAAAUCGCAUGAUUGUAUAUUACUGAAUCGUAAAAAAAAAAAUUUCAAGGACAAAACAGUUUUCUUCUUUUUUAUUUUAUGAUAAUCUACUUUAAAGAAAUGAUCGAUCGAUAAUUUUAUUAUAAUAUAGUGAAAUGAUCAAUUCAUUUCUAAUUGUCGGAUUGAUAAUUCGUCUAUUGUUUACAUUAGAUUUACCCUCACACAGGUGCUGAUGAUCGUUCUAAUGUUGAUUUUUAUGCAGUGAGCAAACGAAGGGUAGACAAAGCUAUUCUCUAAUUUUCAUUCGAACUGUUGUCGUAAUAGUUCGUUUUGGUUAAGCAAAUAGUAAAGGUUUGUUUUACAUAUGAAUCGCAAUAGUGCGCAAUAUAGUUGAGAAAGUUUGUUAGCCCUAUUUCUGUUAAAAACAAGAAAAUCGAUCAUUAACAUUUCGUUAUAUUUUUUUUAUAAAAUACUCAUGAUUUACAAAAUGUUUGUCAAACGGACAAAAAUCGAUCGUCGAUGGUAUGAAAAAAAAAUUUAUACAUUUCACCCUCUAUAACAUCAAAAUUCGUAUUUUAUUUUUUCGUUAUUUUAAAUUAAUCGUUAGCGUUUGUUACUAUUAUAUUCGAAGUAAUAUAGUUUUUAUAGUAUAUAAUUUUUGUAUUAAGACACGCAAAAAAAAUUGAGUUAUAAAGGGUUAACAAUAAAAAUUUGUCAUUAUCGAGAGAUAUCAACGUAGAACGUUUAGAAUAUUAAUUCGAAAAGAAGUCUCUAUGUCGAGUUUCAACGUAAUUAAAGAAAGUUACAUUUAAACGUAAUUAAAGAAAGCAAAGUUUCACACGAUGAUUUCACUUGUAUUAUUUUCAAUAAGUUUAAUUAAUUAAUAAAAAUUAAUUAAUUUUCAUCAACUUUCCAAUGAUCUUUUGCCCGUUAAAAUCUAUUUCAAGUAUGUUCGAUGGUAUAAUUAUUACUUCCUACUUUGGGACGGAAUAAGUAGCGAAAGAAAUAUUUUAUUAAAAUAUUUCUUUUUUAAAAGAUUCAUUUUAAUUUUCUUCGAUAGAAGAAGGUAGUACUACGUUUAUAAAAACGUAAUUAUAAAAUACUUUUGUCUUUCUAUUUUGAUUCCUACAAGUCUAUUGGGUCGUUCGGAAAGUCAUUUCGUUUUUUCUCGACAGAGGAUUUAAUUGUAUUUUUUUGCACCUAACUUCAUACUUAAGCCGCAUAAUCAUUAUAUGUUUUGAGAGCUAAUAUAGCAAGGCUUGUGUGUGAAAAAAUCCAAUUGAUUCUACGCAGUAAUUUUUGGUUGGUGCCCUUUUAAAUAUAGAGAGCAAUAAGCAGCAUUUUCGUCAUAUUUUACUUUUUCACUAUAGAAAAGGUUAAAAUGCUAUGCAAGCCAGAAAGAAAUUAAUCCAUGUGUAUGAAGAAGAUGUGUUGAUAGUACGCCAGUGCCAUAACUGGUUUGCAAAAUUUUGAUCCGCCAAUUUUGAUGUCGAAGAUACCCCACGUUCUGGAAGACCGGUUGAAGCUGAUAAAGACACGAUAAAGGCAUUAGUUGAUGCAAACCGGCGAAUAACAACACGUGAGAUCGGUGAGCGGUUAAAUUUAUCAAAUUCAACUGUUUAUGAUCACUUGAAAGGCCUGGGUUUAACCCCGAAGCUCGAUAUAUGGGUUCCCCAUGCUCUCACGGAGAGAAAUUUGUCGUCGCGUUGACGUCUGUGAUUCGCUUCUCAAACGUCACGAAAACGAUCCAUUUUUGAAGCGCAUCAUUACUGGGGACGAAAAAUGGGUUGUAUAUAAUAAUGUCAAACGCAAGACAUCAUGGAGGAAAAAAGAUUAACCGGCUUAAAGCAUUUCCAAAGCCAAUAUCCAUCAAAAAAAGGUGAUGUUUUCUGUUUAGUGGGAUUUUAAAGAAAUCGUUUUUUUUUUGAUAUUUUACCGGAUAAUACAAUAAUUAAUUCAGAAGUCUACUGUCACCAGUUGGACAAAUUGAAUGAUGUACUUCAACAGAAAAGGCUAGAAUUAAUCAACAGAAAAGGUGUAGUGUUCCACCAAAAUAAUGCGAGACCUCAUACAAGUUUGGUCUCUCGUCAAAAGCUUUUACAGCUUGAGUGGGAUACAAUGCUAUAUCCACCAUAUUCUCCAGAUCUGGCACCUUCGGAUUAUUAUUUGUUUCGGUCAUUGCAAAAUUUUUUAGACGGUAAAACCUUCACUUCAAAUGAGGAAGUCAAAAAUCACCUAGAUCAGUUUUUUGCCAGCAAAGACCAAAAAUUUUAUGAGCGUGGAAUCAUGCUACUACCAGAAAGAUGGCAAAAGGUAAUGGACCAGAAUGGCCAAUAUAUAAUUUAAUAAAAUAUUUAUUCAUUAUACGAAAAUUGUUUUUCAUUUUCACAAAAAAAAACGAAAUAACUUUCCGAACGAUCCAAUAUGUAUUUACUUUCGUAUCUUUUUGGUUUAGAUAUUUGGUUUAGAUACAGUAUAUUGAAACUUUAAAAAAUAUUCAUCAAUUAAACUUAUUUAAAAAAAAUAAAAAAUUUUAUUUAAUAAUUUUAUUCAAAUGUGUUUUUAUUGAUGUUUGCACGUAAACAUAAUGAAAAAAUGAACUGAUAAAAUUUCAUAAUUAUAUAUAUUUAAUUAAUUAAAUUAAUAAUCGGAGGAAAAUUCCACUAUACAUUAAUUUUUCACCGUGGAAAUCGAAUAUAACCCCUUAAAUAAUAUUUCAUGCAAAAAAGUUGAUUUUUUUCAAACUCAAAUAGCUGUAAAAUCUAUUGUAUAUUGUCAUUCAUCCAACUACGAUUUCGGAGAUAUUCCGCCCUUAAUAUCGAACGUUAGUACGAUAGAAAUGAUCGUUACGGCACAUAAAUGUAACUGGCACAAAAGCGUCAAUAAGUCAGGAAAUUUUAUUUCCUGAAAUAUUAUGAAAGAAUAUGAAAUCGGAUUAUAAAAAAUAAUAAUGAAUCGGAUGUUCCCCAACAACUACAGUAAUGCCAUAGCACCGCCAUGGUGGAAGUAUGAGUUAUUAUCGGAAUAUCGCUCAAGUUAGUUGUUUUGUUUCUUCUGCUCUUUUAGUAACUAAAAUUGAAAUACUUGAAUGUGGUACGUGUAAUAUACAAGUUAUUCAUCUGAUUUCAUAUUUAAAGAUCUAAUAUAUCAUAUCAAUUUAAUCCUUUUGCAAAUCAGAUGUUAACACUAAAAAAUGAAUUUGCAAAUCAAGAUCUAGUAUGUACUCAUGUAUAACUAAUAUUGUUAUAUCAUCGGACAGUAUUAUUCUUACUAAUUAAAAAGAAAUAUUUAAUUUCAAAAACAAACUAUACAGAAAUAAUUGGAAUAAUAAUAAUAUCUAUAAGUGAAUAUAAACUUAUCUCUAAAAACUAUAAAGAUGUAGAUGAACCAAUGAUGAUAAAUAUGAUGAUAAUAAUACUUCUAUUGACAAGGAUGAAGAAGAAAAAAUGGAUAUUAAAUUAAAUAAUGAAAAUAUUUGUUUGACAUGCAAAGACAAAUUGAACUUUCAUAAUAUAUACCAAAUAGAGUAAUAUUUAACUGAUCAAAAAGAUAACUACUACAAUUACAUCACCACAGAAUCACAGCAAGAAAUCAUCAAGUUCCAGGAUUAAUCAACAAGAGAAAAUCUAAUGAGAGCUCCUAUCGCAUUAGCACUUAUUAGAUCAUUAAAAUUAGAUCAUUCCAGAAGAUAUAUUAAAUUUACAUCUGUCAAGAAAUGAUAAUAGCGUUAACUCAGGACUGUUCAAAAAAGAUGAAGAAAAACUAGAAAUAAUCCCAGCAUUUAAUUUGAUAUUAGUGAGAAACAAUAUUCAAAUGGGUUACCGAUAUAGUAGCCAUUAUACAAAUGGAAAAAUUAAAUACAACACUUUAAUAUCAUGGCUUAGUUGGCACAAGAAGAAACCAUGAUUAAAGAAUCAUCAACAAUAUUGCAUCAAUUAACAAAGAAGACAGCUUCUAUGAUAAAAAAAAAAAUGAAGAAUAUGUGAGAUUUUUUAAUGAAAUAUAAGAAAUAUAUGAAAAUACUUAAUACGCAAUUAAACAUAAGUUUAUGAAAAUAUUUCUAUGUUUUACUUUUCAAGAAUACAACAAUAUGCAAAAAUUGUCCCUUCGGGGAAAAUGAUUAAUAAUUUUCUAAUGCAAGCCUACGUUAUAAAGGAUUUCAUUUAUUUUAUAGUAUACUUCAUAAUAAUUGAAAUUUAUUCGAUCAAAAUUAAACGAAUUUAUAUUCGAUUCAUAU